rnacentral:rRNA from 1 species
UACAGAGGUCCCAAGCGUUGUUCGGAUUCACUGGGCGUAAAGGGUGCGUAGGCGGUUCGGGUAAGUCUGAUGUGAAAUCUCACAGCUUAACUGUGAAACUGCAUUGGAUACUAUUCGGCUUGAGAGUUGGAGGGGGGACUGGAAUUCUUGGUGUAGCAGUGAAAUGCGUAGAUAUCAAGAGGAACACCAGUGGCGAAGGCGAGUCCCUGGACAACUUCUGACGCUGAGGCACGAAAGCUAGGGGAGCAAACAGG